rnacentral:rRNA from 1 species
GACGAACGCUGGCGGCGUGCUUAACACAUGCAAGUCGAACGGAAAGGCCCUGCUUUUGUGGGGUGCUCGAGUGGCGAACGGGUGAGUAACACGUGAGUAACCUGCCCUUGACUUUGGGAUAACUUCAGGAAACUGGGGCUAAUACCGGAUAGGAGCUCCUGCUGCAUGGUGGGGGUUGGAAAGUUUCGGCGGUUGGGGAUGGACUCGCGGCUUAUCAGCUUGUUGGUGGGGUAGUGGCUUACCAAGGCUUUGACGGGUAGCCGGCCUGAGAGGGUGACCGGCCACCUUGGGGCUGGGGUACGGGCCAGACUCCUAAGGGGGGCAGCAGUGGGGAAUAUUGCACAAUGGGCGGAAGCCUGAUGCAGCAACGCCGCGUGCGGGAUGACGGCCUUCGGGUUGUAAACCGCUUUCGCCUGUGACGAAGCGUGAGUGACGGUAAUGGGUAAAGAAGCACCGGCUAACUACGUG